GAUGAAGAACGUAGCGAAAUGCGAUACUUGGUGUGAAUUGCAGAAUCCCGUGAACCAUCGAGUCUUUGAACGCAAGUUGCGCCCGAAGCCAUCAGGUUGAGGGCACGUCUGCCUGGGCGUCACAUAUCGUUGCUCGAUGCCUAUCGCAUUGCGAUAGGACUUAGGGCGAAUGAUGGCUUCCCGUGAGCGUUGUUGCCUCGCGGUUGGUUGAAAAUCGAGUCCUUGGUAGGGUGUGCCAUGAUAGAUGGUGGUCGAGUUAGCACGACACCGAUCAUGUGCAUGCUCCCCAAAAUAUGGCCUCUGUGACCCACACGCGUCUUUUGACGCUCAUGAUGAGACCUCAGGUCAGGCGGGGCUACCCGCUGAAUUUAAGCAUAUCAAUAAGCGGAGGA
rnacentral:misc_RNA from 1 species